GAAAAUCAUAUUCGAUGAAAGUCGUAUGUAUGGCUUGGAGGGAGAUCUUUCAAUCUUUUAAGAUCCACCCUAC
rnacentral:ncRNA from 1 species